rnacentral:rRNA from 4 species
CACCCUUUAAUGUUUGAUGUUCUAACGUGGACCCGUGAUCCGGGUUGCGGACAGUGUCUGGUGGGUAGUUUGACUGGGGCGGUCUCCUCCUAAAGAGUAACGGAGGAGCACGAAGGUUGGCUAAUCCUGGUCGGACAUCAGGAGGUUAGUGCAAUGGCAUAAGCCAGCUUGACUGCGAGCGUGACGGCGCGAGCAGGUGCGAAAGCAGGUCAUAGUGAUCCGGUGGUUCUGAAUGGAAGGGCCAUCGCUCAACGGAUAAAAGGUACUCCGGGGAUAACAGGCUGAUACCGCCCAAGAGUUCAUAUCGACGGCGGUGUUUGGCACCUCGAUGUCGGCUCAUCACAUCCUGGGGCUGAAGUAGGUCCCAAGGGUAUGGCUGUUCGCCAUUUAAAGUGGUACGCGAGCUGGGUUUAGAACGUCGUGAGACAGUUCGGUCCCUAUCUGCCGUGGGCGCUGGAGAACUGAGGGGGGCUGCUCCUAGUACGAGAGGACCGGAGUGGACGCAUCACUGGUGUUCGGGUUGUCAUGCCAAUGGCACUGCCCGGUAGCUAAAUGCGGAAGAGAUAAGUGCUGAAAGCAUCUAAGCACGAAACUUGCCCCGAGAUGAGUUCUCCCUGAGACUUUAGGUCUCCUGAAGGAACGUUGAAGACGACGACGUUGAUAGGCCGGGUGUGUAAGCGCAGCGAUGCGUUGAGCUAACCGGUACUAAUGAACCGUGAGGCUUAACCUUACAACGCCGAAG